ensembl:processed_transcript Snhg3 small nucleolar RNA host gene 3
UUGGUUCCUGCCUUGAGAUUUGAAGUGUUAGCCGCCUUCCAGCGUUCGGUUUUAACUUAAUCAUUUCGCCUUGCUUCCCAGUUAUACUUUCUCUUCACCUUGUAACGGGAUUUCUGCAGUUUUUUGUUCAUUAAUCUCCCAUUUUUCAGAGGACCCUUUUUUAGACCCGGUCAAUGAUUUCAGGUACUUUGUUGAUGGAGGAAAGAAGAGAAUCAGCGAGGGCACCUACUGAAUAGUUACUAUAUACAGCCUCGGCCAUUAGAAGCUGGGGCAAGCUUUUCUGCCUAUUUACUCUGGUAAAUACAUUUCUUUUGUCUAGAUUUGAGAACCUUCAGCAUGGUUCUCAUUUUUUGAGGUCCCAACAGGUUUCCCCCAGACCAUAUUAUAUAAACCAUAUAUGUCAU